rnacentral:rRNA from 1 species
UACGGAGGGAGCUAGCGUUAUUCGGAAUUACUGGGCGUAAAGCGCACGUAGGCGGCUUUGUAAGUAAGAGGUGAAAGCCCAGAGCUCAACUCUGGAAUUGCCUUUUAGACUGCAUCGCUUGAAUCAUGGAGAGGUCAGUGGAAUUCCGAGUGUAGAGGUGAAAUUCGUAGAUAUUCGGAAGAACACCGGUGGCGAAGGCGGCAUCCUGGACCGACAUUGACGCUGAACGGCGAAAGCUAGGGGAGCAAACGGG